rnacentral:lncRNA from 13 species
CAACUUGAACUCAAACAGCGUACAGAAAAACAACAACCAAACAGCAACUACCAAAAAACAAGGAUCAAACUUCCAGUUUGUCUCCCUGAUUUGAUCUGCACAUAACAAGAGAUGGGGGCAGUAAUGCUCCUCCAGUGCUGAAUUAAAAGCAGCCUAAGCCAGCUCAGUUCAUCCUGCUGAUUAGAUGAAAUGUGCACGGCCGAUAAUGCACCAAUGGAUUUGCCCCCCUAUUAGCUGGGUCAACCCGGCCCCCUGUGCUCGUUAAGAGAGUAUUUGGGAGCGAGAGAGAGAGGGGGAUCCUGGGUUUUCUCAUUAAAAACAUAAAUUCAAUACCCUCUUCCUGCUCUUGACCCCCAUCCCUUUCGUUUCAGGCUUAUGCCUGCUCUCACCCAGCUCUUUUUUUGUUUUCAUUCAACAGUUAUUAUUAUUGAGUGAUCAUUAUCAUUCUCUAAUUAGAUUUUUACACGUGAUAAAAGACAAUAGAAAUUUGGCCAGCCAUACUAACGUGGGUGUAGCAGAGACUAGCUAUGGAGGGUGUAGUGAGGCAGGAAGCAUAGAUGGGAGCCAAUGCAGGACAUAUUAAUUAGUGAGGUCAGAGAGUUGAGACAGUGUUGCUAACGUGUCCCCAGGUGCACUUAUUAUGGACACCCAUUAAUAUCACCUGACUCAAAGUAGCUUUAUGUAGGCUGUAUAUCUCCUUUUGUGGUAUUCACUGUCUUUCCCUUUCUCCCCACAGUGCCCAAUGGCUCAUGGAUCCGGCAUGGAUAUGAACCUGCCUGGCCUGCUUCCCCUCAUGUCCCGGACUGCCCCUCUGCGGGGGACCAGUCUGAGUGGAGGACUGCAGCUGCAGCACUUCCUGGGUCAUGAGAUCCUGAUGCCCUGCAACUUGGAUGAAGCACUGCCCCAUGACACGCCCAAACACAAGAAGCAAAAACACAGCAGCGCUGCCCACCACGCCCGCAGUGCCCAGGCAGAGAUGACCUUUAGGCAGAUCAGAGGAAUGGCAGGUACCCUGCCAUCCACCGGCCUCCUUCCUAACGGGUACAGGGUCCUGAUUACCAACCUCGAGCAGGACAGCAGAUACCAGAGUGGUGGUGCUCCUAAACCCCCACCCAUGUAGCACCCCAGGGGUUUGGGCAGAGGAAUGGGAGACACUACUGUGGGCACGAGGAAGUAGAGAAAUGGGAGGAUCCUGAUACUCCUGUGUGGGUCAUUGCACACAUGCAGAGUAAGAGUGGGAAGUAUUGUUCAGCUGAAUUCGGUUCACUUCCGGUCCAUAGACUGUAGAUUAGUGAACUGCGGAUAACCCCCUUUCCUUUAGUUUGUCUGUUUAUAAAUGUACACUGAACAAAAAUAUAAACUCAACAUGUAAAGUGUUGGUCCCAUGUUUCAUGAGCUGAAAUGUUCCAUAUGGACAAAAAGCUUGUUUCUCUCAAAUGUUGUGCACAAAUUUGUUUACAUCCCUGUUGGUGAGCAUUUGUCCUUUGCCAAGAUAAUCCAUCCACCUGACACCUGUGGCAUAUCAAGAAGCUGAUUAAACAGCAUGAUCAUUACACAAGUGCACCUUGUGCUUGGGACAAUAAAAGGCCACUCUAAAAUGUGUAGUUUUGUCACACAACACAAUGCCACAGAUGUCUCAAGUUUCUAGGGAGCGUGCAAUUGGCAAGCUGACUGCAGGAAUGUCCACCAGAGCUGUUGCCAGAUAAUUUAAUGUUUAUUUCUCUACCAUAAGCCACCUCCACUGUUAUUUUCGAGAAUUUGGCAGUACUUUCAACAGGCCUCACAACCACAGACCACGUGUAUGGCAUCGUGUGAGCGGUUUGCUGAUAUCAACGUUGUGAACAUAGUGCCGCAUGGUGGGGUUAUGGUAUGGGCAGUCUUAAGCUACGGACAACAAACACAAUUGCAUUUAAUCGAUAGCAAAAUCCUGAGGCCCAUUGUGAGGCCCUUUUUUUUUUUUUUAAGGUUUCUGUGACCAAUUCCCAGUCAUGUCAAAUUGAAAGAUUAGGGCAUAAUGAAUGUAUUUCAAUUAACUGAUUUCCUCAUAUGAACUGUAAGUCAGUAAAAUCUUUGAAAUUGUUGCAUGUUGCAUUAACAUUUUUGUUCAGUAUAUUUACUUUUGUGACAUAUAAUGUGAAACAUGAACUGCUGUAUGCUUUGUCAAAAUAUAUGUGAUGUCGAUACUUUACGUUUUUUUUCUUUUCAUUUUCACAAACACGUUCAGGGCCAGUGAGCUGAUGAUACUUGAAAAGAGCUACAUGUGCAGUUGAAGUUGGAAGUUUACAUACACUUAGUUUGGAGUCAUUAUAACUUGUUUUUCAACCACUACACAAAUUUCUUGUUAACAAACUAUAGUUUUGGCAAGUCGGUUAGGACAUCUACUUUGUGCAUGACACAAGUAAUUUUUCCAACAAUUGUUUACAGACAGAUUAUUUCACUUAUAAUUCACUGUAUCACAUUUCCAGUGGGUCAGAAGUUUACAUACACUAAGUUGACUGCCUUUAAACAGCUUGGAAAAUUCCAGAAAAUGAAGUCAUGGCUUUAGAAGCUUCUGAUAGGCUAAUUGACAUAAUUUGAGUCAAUUGGAGGUGUACCCGUGGAUGUAUUUCAAGGCCUACCUUCAAACUCAGUGCCUCUUUGCUUGACAAGGGAAAAUCAAAAGAAAUCAGUCAGACAUCAGAAAAUAAAUUGUAGACCUCCACAAGUCUGGUUCAUCCAGAAAUUUCCAAAUGCCUGAAGGUACCAUGUUCAUCUGUACAAACAAUAGUACACAAGUAUAAACACCAUGGGACCAAGCAGCCGUCAUACCGCUCAGGAAGGAGACGCAUUCUGUCUCCUAAAGAUGAACGUACUUUGUUGUGAAAAGUGUAAAUCAAUCCCAGAACAACAGCAAAGGACCUUGUGAAGAUGCUGGAGGAAACGGGUACAAAAGUAUCUAUAUCCACAGUAAAACAAGUCCUAUAUUCACACAACCUGAAAGGCCGCUCAGCAAGGAAGAAGCCACUUUUCCAAAACUCCCAUAAAAAAAGCCAGACUACAGUUUGCAACUGCAUAUGGAGACAAAGAUCGUACUUUUUGGAGAAAUGUCCUCUGAUCUGAUGAAACAAAAAUAGAACUGUUUGGCCAUAAUGACCAUCGUUAUGUUUGGAGGAAAAAGGGGGAGACUUGCAAGCCGAAGAACACCAUCCCAACUGUGAAGCAAGUGGGUGGCAGCAUCAUGUUGUGGGGGUGCUUUGCUGCAGGAGGGACUGGUGCACUUCACAAAAUAAAUGGCAUCAUGAGAAAGGAAAAUUAUGUAGAUAUAUUGAAACAACAUCUCAAGACAUCUGUCAGGAAGUUAAAGCUUGGUCGCAAAUGGGUCUUCCAAAUGGACAAUGACCCCAAGCAUACUUUCAAAGUUGUAGCAAAAUGGCUUAAGGACAACAAAGUCAAGGUAUUGGUGUGGCCAUCACAAAGCCCUGACAUCAGUCCCAUAGAAAAUGUGUGGGCAGAACUAUAAAAGCGUGUUCGAGCAAGGAGGCUUACAAACCUGACUCAGUUACACCAGCUCUGUCAGGAAGAAUGGGCCAAAUUAACCCAACUUAUUGUGGGAGGCUUGUGGAAGGCUACCCGAACCGUUUGACCCAAGUUAAACAAUUUAAAGGAAAUGCUACCAAAUACUAAUUGAGUGUAUGUAAACGUCUGACCCACUUGGAAUGUGAUGAAAGAAAUAAAAGCUGAAAUAAAUAAAAUCAAAUCCAAGUUUAUUUGUCACGUGCGCCGAAUACAACAGGUGUAGUAGACCUUACAGUGAAAUGCUUACUUACAGGCUCUAACCAAUAGUGCAGAGUGAAAAAAAAAAGUAUGUGUAGGUAAGUAAAGAAAUAAAACAACAGUAAAAACACAUUUGAAAAUAAGAGUAGCAAGGCUAUAUACAGACACUGGUUAGUCAGGCUUAUUGAGGUAGUAUGUACAUGUGUGUAUGGUUAAAGUGACUAUGCAUAUAUGAUGAACAGAGAGUAGCAGUAGCCUAAAAAGAGGGGUUGGCGAACAGUCUCUCUACUGUUAUUCUGAUAUUUCACAUUCUUUUUAAAUUGUACCCCUUUUUCUCUCCAAUUUCGUGGUAUCCAAUUGUUGUAGUAGCUACUAUCUUGUCUCAUUGCUACAACUCCCGUACGGGCUCGGGAGAGACGAAGGUUGAAUGUCAUGCGUCCUCCGAUACACAACCCAACCAAGCCGCACUGCUUCUUAACACAGCGCGCAUCCAACCCGGAAGCCAACCGCACCAAUGUGUCGGAGGCUACACCGUGCACCUGGCAACCUUGGCUAGCGCGCACUGCGCCCGGCCCGUCACAGGAGUCGCUGGUGCGCGAUGAGAUCCCUCCCUAACCCGGACGACGCUAGGCCAAUUGUGCGUCGCCCCACGGACCUCCCAGUCGCGACCGGUUACGACAGAGCCUGGGCGCGAACCCAGGGACUCUGAUGGCACAGCUGGCGCUGCAGUACAGCGCCCUUAACCACCCGGGAGGCCUGAUAUUUCACAUUCUUAAAGUGGUGAUCCUAACUGAUGUAAAACAGGGAAUUUUUACUGGGAUUAAAUGUCAGGAAUUGUGAAAAACUGAGUUUAAAUGUAUUUGGCUAAGGUUUGUGUCAACUUCUGACUUCAAGUAUGUUAGGAGAGUGGGGCAUGAACAAGUGUCUCUUUCUAUCCACAACUGUUAUUCUCCAACCAGUGACCACUGUAAUCUAUUUAAUACUGUGAGGUUUUGAGUCAUGUCCAUUACACUCCUUUCCUUGCCUCCAAAACUGAAAAAAUAAUAAACACCCACGUGUGAAGCUGGCUUGUGUUCAUCGGGUCAAAUGGAUCCCCAGCAAGUGGAUAAUAUGGGUUUAGUGCACCUCUCUGUGGACAAUAAUCUGCAGUCACUUAGAUGGGGCCAUAAUCUUGAAUGAGAUCCAAAUGGAUUGCAGAUAUCUGUCAGUUUCAGCAUGUUAGCCUCUUUUAAAAGGCCCACUCUGGUUUUCCCUCUGAUAGGCAACUCUCAUGGACCGUUACUGAAAAUAAACCAGUGAUCUCUUACAGUUGGCCCUUUGAGUGAUGUGAGAGCUGACUUAAUUUACCAUCAUUGCUGUAUUCAUGUUAAUGUAGCCCAGUAUUAGACGGUUUAACAGAAACAAGGCUCCUCUGAUAAGUACAGUAUUAGCACUAAAUCAGGAAUUAACCUGGGUGUAACAAGCACAUGUAUGCCCUCUGUGCCCCGAGCUAAUGAUGUAAACCAACAUGAAGUGAAAGUGUUAGUUUCCCACACAUCCAGUGAUCAGGUACAUGUAUUCCGAUUACAAAAAUCUGUAAUCAAUUACGUUACCAGCAACAACAACAAAAAAUAAUCAGAUUACAGAUACUUUUGAAAAACUAGGUGAUUACUUACUAAUUCAGAAAGAGUGUUUACGACAAAAAAAAAGUUCCAUUACUGAUUAUGCUUGUGGACAGGUAACUAGUAACUUUUAAAGAUUACAUUUAGAAAGUAAUCUACCCAACCCUGCACCCAGUGAUGCCAUUGACCUCUAGGUGUCCCUAGUGCUCCUUACGCCCUGCCCUCAGCCUGCUGUUAGUCAGAACAUUGCAAAUGAUCUUCCACUGAGUAACACAUUGACUCAAGGCCAGGUUGAGUCGAUGUUCAGUAAUGCCCUAGGUUAUGCUCACAGCUAACGUGACCUGUUCAAAUCUUAUGGAACAACAACUAAACUCAACAAAAAAAAGAAACAUCCUCUCACUGUCAACUGCGUUUAUUUUCAGCAAACUUAACACGUGGAAAUAUUUGUAUGAACAUAAGAUUCAACAACUGAGACAAACUGAACAACUUCCACAGAAC